AUUGAACGCUGGCGGCAGGCUUAACACAUGCAAGUCGAGCGGGGUGAUGGUGCUUGCACUAUCACUUAGCGGCGGACGGGUGAGUAAUGCUUAGGAAUCUGCCUAUUAGUGGGGGACAACAUCUCGAAAGGGAUGCUAAUACCGCAUACGUCCUACGGGAGAAAGCAGGGGAUCACUUGUGACCUUGCGCUAAUAGAUGAGCCUAAGUCGGAUUAGCUAGUUGGUGGGGUAAAGGCCUACCAAGGCGACGAUCUGUAGCGGGUCUGAGAGGAUGAUCCGCCACACUGGGACUGAGACACGGCCCAGACUCCUACGGGAGGCAGCAAUGGGGAAUAUUGGACAAUGGGGGGAACCCUGAUCCAGCCAUGCCGCGUGUGUGAAGAAGGCCUUAUGGUUGUAAGGCACUUUAAGCGAGGAGGAGGCUCUUUUGGUUAAUACCCAAGAUGAGUGGACGUUACUCGCAGAAUAAGCACCGGCUAACUCUGUGCCAGCAGCCGCCGUAA
rnacentral:rRNA from 1 species